AUAUUUCUAUGGAAACAUUAAAACAAUAAUAGUUGGUUUUAAAACCUUAUUGUAGAAGUUUUAGAUUUCUAAAAUGACGGAAUCAUCAGCAAAAGGAACUUCAGGUCGAAAUUCUCAACUAGGAGCAAUGGCCGUUGUAAGUCGACCGUCUACAAAAGUCUCUGUUUGUCAAACUAAUGAAGUUGAAAAGAUGAAAAAUCCUUACAAAAUGCCGAAAGAUAGCGAUAUAUUUAAAUUAAGAGAAGAAGAAAAGAAAAGAAAAGCUGAAGAUAGGAUAAGACUAAGAGAUUUGAAAGUUCAUGAAAAAACUACUCAAGCUACAAGAAUCAAUUUUAAAACUGCCAGAAUGAUAAAACCAAUUGAAUCAGAUGAAGAACGUGAACGCGAUGAUGAUGAGAUUGUACCUGUAAAAGAAGAUCCUGAAUUUACAUUAGCGGUCACAAGAGAUCGUCAUAUAGAAAAGGAAUCAUUGAACGAUUAUAUCACAAAGAAGCGCGAGAUGUUUCUGGUCCAGUAUUCUUUAGGCGUAAAAAGGGAUGAAAUGAGAAAAUUAGAGGAAAUAGCCUCAGCAGAAGAAAAGAAAUUAGAACAGGCUGAACAAUAUUUGGAAGAAGAUGCUCAAAUGUUCGACGCAUUUCUAAAAGAGAAUGAUACCAACUCAGUUAACGCUAUACAAAAAGCGGAAGCCGAAACAAAGAAAAAAUUAGAAAAACUCAGUGAAAUAAAACGCGUAACUGCUCAGAUGAUGACAAUUAAAAGCGAAAUUUCCAAACACGAAGAAACACUUAAAGAAUAUCAAAUGUACAAGAGAUUUUUAGAAUCUUUAACUCCUCCUGAAUGGUUGGAACUGAGGGCAUUAGAUAGGAAAAAGCGAGUUGAAGCUAAGAGGAAAGAAGCGGCUGCUGAUCAACAAGAAAGAGCGUCAACAGCAUCGAGUCGUCCAAGUAGUAAGGCUUCCCGUCAAAAUGUUGGAAGUAGAGAAUCUAGACGAAGGGGAAGGGGUGGUAAAACCAGUGCAUCGAGUAGAAGGAAUUUGCCAGCUGUUCAAGGAGAAGAUCAAGAUACUAAUUUGUCCCUAACUGACGAAGAUAGCGAUGAAGAACCGGAAUUAUAUUUCACAGAUCCACAACAGCUUUUAGACAUUUUCGCUGAUCUUGAGGAGCAAAAUUUAUCCCUGAUACAAAAUAGUCAAGAAACUGAAGAGACCUUAGAAGAUAUGAAACAAAAUUUGGCUAGAACGCAAAAAAAUAUGGAAAAAGAGACGAAAGUUUUACAAGAUCAAAUUAACAAAUUGGAAAGUGCUAUAGAGAAAGAAGAUGUAAAAGCCAAUGACCUCAAAAUGAAGGCUAAGUAAAUGUUUUAUGAUAAUUCUAUAAUUCUAUAGAAUAUCGUUAAAUAAUUAUGAAAAAUUUCUUUAAUUAACUUAGAAUGUUUAACUAUGGAGAAUUUAAAUCCGAAGAUCAAGAGAAUAUGCUUAAAGACCUCAAAGCAAAGGUUGAAGAAGUUUACAGAUCCACCAUUGGUGAUAACGAAGCUAAUAUUGAGUAUGACUUACAUUAUUAUAAUAAUCAUGCGGUUGCGUAUUUUAGGAUAUUCCGGGAAUUCCUAGUACUUAUAAAGAAGAUAUAACGACAUAAAUAUAUGCGUCAUAUUGAAAUGAUAACAAUAAUCCUGUUUCUUAUUAAUCCAUAACCUCAUAUAAAAAAAAAAUACUGCGCAUUUACAUACAAUCUCUUUUUUUUCCAAAUUCCUAGAACAUUACAAAUGCUAACGAAUAUUGAAAAUCGAUUAGAAGAACUUUUCGAAUUAAUGGAAACUCUACCGAGAGACAAGGUUGAAGAAGCGGAGAAGAAGAAAGAAAAAGAAAGGAGGCUGAAGGCUCGAGAGGAUAAAAUGGAACAGCAGAAGAAGCAUCAGGAAGAAAGGGUUCAGAAAGCUUUGCAGAGGGCUCAGGCAGCGCCUAAAAAACAAGUUGGUCGAAGAGUUAUGGGUCGUAGCGAGCCACCGGCUCAUAAGCAGACAGAUGAUGAUAAAGAUAAUCAGCAAAGCAAAGAGGAUGAAGAAUUAGCGUAUUAUUUUACAUAGUAACGCUAUUGAAGUGGGAGACAAGCAUUAUUAAUAUCAUUGACAAAUAUGACCCAAUAAAUAACUGUUUUUUUUUUUAAUAUGAUGAAAUAUUUCCAUCUGGUUCAAUAUAAAAAGACUGUAUAGAAAAUUGGUGUUGUGCAGUACUACAAUUUAUCACAAUUUCGCUUAUAGUAUAAUUUAAUGUUAUACAACUAUUUAGCUAAUUUCUAGCAUCCUAUAGCUUGUUUUUUUGCACUAAGAAUCUCCAUCUCUUUCUAUUCGAUUAAGUUUGCUCUGUAGAGGGAGAGAUAUUAUGCAAUAUAUCCCAGUUCUUCUAAAAACGACACGAGUUAGUGAUUGUAGGCUUAGGUUAUGUAUGCUCUCAAUUCAGUUCAAGUUCAUUUUCUAUGCUACCCUCCUAGUUUUUAGUCCUACCUAACUUUAAAAUAUUACUUUCUUGAUAAAGGCUCUCUGCUCUCUUUUUUUUUUACCUCUGUGUAAUUUAUAUCAUAUUUGUAUUUAAGCCUAGAUCUACCAAAAUACCAUUGACACCAUCGAGGGGUUUCUAUGGAAGUAACCUCGCUUUUUAAAUCUCUUGACUUGGUUAUCUAAAGAUGAUACUAGUACAUUUUUAAUUUUGCUAUUACAAUAGUAAACAUGUUUACGAUUGGUCGAAAUUUGGUAAAUGUCCUCAAAACCAUUCUUAUAUUUAGCUACAAAUGUAACAAAACAUAUAACAUUUUGGACAAAUAAGAUAUAAAGAGAAGGAAUAGGCAUAGCAGAGAAAAUAACAAAGCAAGAGAGAGGGCAGAGAUAGAGAGAGAGAGAGAGAGAGAGA
rnacentral:misc_RNA from 1 species